UAACGGUGGUAAUUCUAGAGCUAAUACAUGCCGACGGGCGCUGACCCCCUUCGCGGGGGGGAUGCGUGCAUUUAUCAGAUCAAAACCAACCCGGUCAGCCCCUCUCCGGCCCCGGCCGGGGGGCGGGCGCCGGCGGCUUUGGUGACUCUAGAUAACCUCGGGCCGAUCGCACGCCCCCCGUGGCGGCGACGACCCAUUCGAACGUCUGCCCUAUCAACUUUCGAUGGUAGUCGCCGUGCCUACCAUGGUGACCACGGGUGACGGGGAAUCAGGGUUCGAUUCCGGAGAGGGAGCCUGAGAAACGGCUACCACAUCCAAGGAAGGCAGCAGGCGCGCAAAUUACCCACUCCCGACCCGGGGAGGUAGUGACGAAAAAUAACAAUACAGGACUCUUUCGAGGCCCUGUAAUUGGAAUGAGUCCACUUUAAAUCCUUUAACGAGGAUCCAUU
rnacentral:rRNA from 1 species